GACGAACGCUGGCGGCGUGCUUAACACAUGCAAGUCGAACGGAAAGGCCCUGCUUUUGUGGGGUGCUCGAGUGGCGAACGGGUGAGUAACACGUGAGUAACCUGCCCUUGACUUUGGGAUAACUUCAGGAAACUGGGGCUAAUACCGGAUAGGAGCUCCUGCUGCAUGGUGGGGGUUGGAAAGUGUCGGCGGUGGGGGAUGGACUCGCGGCUUAUCAGCUUGUUGGUGGGGGAGUGGCUUGCCAAGGCUUGGACGGGUAGCCGGACUGGGAGGGUGACCGGCCACAGUGGCCCACGGUAAGCAGCAGGGGGCAACAGGGGGCAAGCGGCGCAGACUAUUGCCAACCGGGCCGAGGCGUGGUACAAGACCUCCGGGUGCGGAAGGCCGGCUGUCGGGUUGUAAAACGCUUACGCCUGUAACGAGGCGUGAGUAAGGGAACUGAAUAAUAAGGCACCGCCAACUUCCUU
rnacentral:rRNA from 1 species